AUGGCCUGGAGCUGGAGAACCCUCCUCCUGGUGGCCAUGGCUACAGGUGUCCACUCCCAGGUGCAGCUGGUGCAGUCUGGGGCUGAGGUGAGGAAGCCUGGGGCCUCCGUGAAGGUCUCCUGCAAGGGUUCUAAAUACACCUUCUCCAGCUACUGGAUGCACUGGGUGCGACAGGCCCCAGGAAUGGGCCUGCAGUAUAUGGGCUGGAUCAACACAGAAACUGGGACACCUACUUAUGCUCAGGGCUUUUCAGAAAGAUGUGUCUUCUCCAUGGACACCUCUGUCAGCACAGCCUAUCUGCAGAUCAAUGGCCUCAAGUCUGAGGACACGGCCAUGUAUUAUUGUGCAAGGCACAGUGAGGGGAAGUCAGUGUGA